rnacentral:rRNA from 1 species
GAUGAACGCUAGCGGCAGGCUUAACACAUGCAAGUCGAGGGGUAUGCCGAUUUAUCGGCAGAGACCGGCGCACGGGUGCGUAACGCGUAUGCAAUCUACCUUUCACAGAGGAUAGCCCAGAGAAAUUUGGAUUAAUACCUCAUAGUAUAGCAGUUUCGCAUGAAACCACUAUUAAAGUUCCAACGGUGAAAGAUGAGCAUGCGUCCCAUUAGCUAGAUGGUAAGGUAACGGCUUACCAUGGCUACGAUGGGUAGGGGUCCUGAGAGGGAGAUCCCCCACACUGGUACUGAGACACGGACCAGACUCCUACGGGAGGCAGCAGUGAGGAAUAUUGGUCAAUGGGCGCAAGCCUGAACCAGCCAUGCCGCGUGCAGGAAGACGGUCCUAUGGAUUGUAAACUGCUUUUAUACAGGAAGAAACCCUCCCACGUGUGGGAGCUUGACGGUACUGUAGGAAUAAGGGAUCGGCUAACUCCGUGCCAGCA